GACGGAGGAUGCAAGUGUUAUCCGGAAUCACUGGGCGUAAAGCGUCUGUAGGUGGUUUAAUAAGUCAACUGUUAAAUCUUGAGGCUCAACUUCAAAAUCGCAGUCGAAACUAUUAGACUAGAGUAUAGUAGGGGUAAAGGGAAUUUCCAGUGGAGCGGUGAAAUGCGUAGAGAUUGGAAAGAACACCAAUGGCGAAAGCACUUUACUGGGCUAUCACUGACACUGGGAGACGAAAGCUAGGGUAGCAAAUGGG
rnacentral:rRNA from 1 species